rnacentral:rRNA from 1 species
CGAUGAGUAGGGCGGGACACGUGGUAUCCUGUCUGAAUAUGGGGGGACCAUCCUCCAAGGCUAAAUACUCCUGACUGACCGAUAGUGAACCAGUACCGUGAGGGAAAGGCGAAAAGAACCCCGGCGAGGGGAGUGAAAAAGAACCUGAAACCGUGUACGUACAAGCAGUGGGAGCACCCUUUGGGGUGUGACUGCGUACCUUUUGUAUAAUGGGUCAGCGACUUAUAUUCUGUAGCAAGGUUAACCGAAUAGGGGAGCCGGAGGGAAACCGAGUCUUAAUUGGGCGUUAAGUUGCAGGGUAUAGACCCGAAACCCGGUGAUCUAGCCAUGGGCAGGUUGAAGGUUGGGUAACACUAACUGGAGGACCGAACCGACUAAUGUUGAAAAAUUAGCGGAUGACCUGUGGCUGGGGGUGAAAGGCCAAUCAAACCGGGAGAUAGCUGGUUCUCCCCGAAAGCUAUUUAGGUAGCGCCUCGUGAAUUCAUCUCCGGGGGUAGAGCACUGUUUCGGCUAGGGGGCCAUCCCGGCUUACCAACCCGAUGCAAACUGCGAAUACCGGAGAAUGUUAUCACGGGAGACACACGGCGGGUGCUAACGUCCGUCGUGAAGAGGGAAACAACCCAGACCGCCAGCUAAGGUCCCAAAGUCAUGGUUAAGUGGGAAACGAUGUGGGAAGGCCCAGACAGCCAGGAUGUUGGCUUAGAAGCAGCCAUCAUUUAAAGAAAGCGUAAUAGCUCACUGGUCGAGUCGGCCUGCGCGGAAGAUGUAACGGGGCUAAACCAUGCACCGAAGCUGCGGCAGCGAACGUAUCACUUAAAGCGAUUCAGCGGAUGACGAUUGACGGAGCGAAGCGACGUCAAAGCGUAUACAAAGUCGAGUCGGUUUAAGGAUACGUUCGUUGGGUAGGGGAGCGUUCUGUAA